rnacentral:rRNA from 1 species
UACAGAGGGUGCGAGCGUUAAUCGGAGUUACUGGGCGUAAAGGGCGCGUAGGCGGCCUUCUAAGUCAGACGUGAAAUCCCUCGGCUCAACCGAGGAACUGCGUCUGAUACUGGAAGGCUUGAAUCCGGGAGAGGGAUGUGGAAUUCCAGGUGUAGCGGUGAAAUGCGUAGAUAUCUGGAGGAACACCGGUGGCGAAGGCGGCAUCCUGGACCGGUAUUGACGCUGAGGCGGCGAAAAGCUAGGGGAGCAAACGGG